ACCACUUACAAAUAUUGCAGUAUUUGAUUAUACAUAUUUAGGUAGUAUUACGCUCUCCAUCCUGAAAUUAUUCUUUGAGUGUGAAUCCAGGAUCUGUGUACUUUUCUGCACGCUGAGCCAGAGUGUGUUCUGAAUAACUUUACCUUACUUCUACCAUAGCCCAGUCUUGCUUGCUUCAUUUAACAACCUGUGAAUCAGAGUUGUUAUUAACAACCUGUUUUUACCAUAAGGUGGUCUUAUAUUUCCCUGUCCAAUACUUUAAUUAUUCUGUCAAAAGGUAUACAGUGUGUGUUUAUAAGAUAAAGAUAUAGACUGUGUAUAUUUUGAAAUAAUAAAACACUUUAUUUUUCAGAAUCUGCUUGUCAGUAGUUGAUUCAAUAAAUAAAGUGUAACAACCAAAUUUUUACUACUGUUGUGUUCCAUAUAACAAACAUUAAUUGAGAGUAACAUUAUAUAAUACCAAGCCUAAAAAAAAAAAAAAAAAAAAAAAAAAAAAAAAAUAUGGAACCAGUAGAUCUUCCACAGGUUGUUUUUAAUCUCACUCAAAGGGUUGAUCAGUUAGCCCAGGGCUUACACGACUUACAAGUUGAAAAUGUUGCACUAAGAAAUAUUAUAAAAGAAUCCAUUGCACUGAAAUCUAGUCAAUUUGAGACUAUGCUUGAACCACAGGUUUCCUUACCAGAGCAUUUCUCAGGCAAUAGAAAAAUGUACAGGCAGUUUAAAAAUGCCUGCCACUUACUCUUUUCCAUGAAACCCAGGACUUACCCCACUGAGAGAGUGAAGGUUCUGACCACCAUAUCAUUCCUCAGAGGGGAACCAAGAAACUGGGCUGACAAAUUCUUUGAGACAGAGGAUCCAAUUUUAGGAUCACUAGAAGCUUUCUUUGCAUCCAUGGAUGCAUUAUUUCAAGAUACAGAUAUCCAGCUCACAGCUGAAUCCUCCAUGAGAAGCCUCAAACAAGGCAAAAGACCCGUGGAGGAGUAUAUCACAGACUUUAAACAGUUUUCUGCUGAUUCUCUUUGGAAUCCCAUAGCCUUGCGGAACCAAUUCCGUAUUGGUCUCUCUGAGGCUUUGAAAGACGAAUUUGCUAGGAUUGAACAACCAAAAACUCUAGACGCCUUUAUGAGAAUGGCUACUCAAAUUGACCGCCGCCUCCGUGAGAGAAAAGCGGAAAAAUCUGCAACAGAUUUAAAACCUAAAAUUUCAUACUCUGCUACUACCAGUCCUUACUACGCCUCCGCUAAACCUCAGCCUGAGGCAAUGGAGAUAGGAAUCCUCAGAGGACCACUCAGUCCUGAAGAGAAAUUACGCCGUAGGAUGAAGAAUCUUUGUUUAUACUGUGCCAGUCCUACUCACAAUGUUCAAGACUGCACAGUCUUGUUAAAGUCUAAGAAAUGUAAGUUUAAACUUAUUAAUUCAUCUGUACAUUCUCAGUUAAAGACAUCUUAUUGCACGCUGUCUCUUUCUCUACAGCUGGAACAAAGUCUACUGAAAAUUGAUGACGCUAUCAUUGAUUCAGGGGCUACUGGUAACUACUUAGAUCUUCACUAUUGUCUUCAGAAUCGUAUCCCCUUGAUCUGCAAGAAGACACCAGUCCCCAUCAAAGUAAUCGAUGGAUCACCCAUGGUUUCUGGUCCCAUAACCCAUGAGACCAUUCCUGUUUUUGUGAAUAUCUGUGGACAUACAGAAUUGAUGUCCUUAGAUGUCUUACCCUCUCCUCAUUUCACUUUGGUUCUUGGGAUGAAGUGGUUGCAACUUCAUAACCCAACUAUUGUUUGGUCCCCUUUUGAAAUAAAGUUUAAUUCAGAUUAUUGCAGAAAUACUUGUCUCACUGGUCAUUUAUUAAUGCAAACUCAUACAACAAUAGAUAACCUACCCAAUGAAUAUUCUGAUUUUAAAGAUGUGUUUAGUAAGACAGAGGCAGAGAACUUACCACCUCAUAGGAUAUAUGACUGUCCGAUAGACCUUCAACCUGGUGCCAAGAUCCCUUACGGUCAUCUCUAUCCUCUCAGCCCCCCUGAAUUGGAGCAUUUGAAAGAAUAUUUAGAGGAGAACUUAAGGAAAGGAUUUAUUAGAGCUUCCACUUCUCCAGCUGGAGCUGGGAUAUUCUUCGUGCGAAAUAAAGAUUCCAGUCUAAGACCCAUUAUUGAUUACCGCGAACUCAAUAAAUGUACAAUUAAGAAUCGUUAUCCAUUACCCUUAAUUCCAGAAAUGAUCGAAAGACUUUCUGAUGCCACCAUCUUCACCAAGUUGGAUUUAAGAGGGGCAUAUAAUUUAAUAAGGAUAAAGGAGGGCCAUGAGUGGCUGACGGCAUUCAGGACCAGGUAUGGUCUUUUCGAAUACCUGGUAAUGCCUUUCGGCCUGUGUAAUGCCCCCGCUACGUUCCAGCACUUUAUCAACGAUGUGUUCAGAGAUCUGUUGGACGUAUGUCUUGUAAUAUAUUUGGAUGACAUUCUCAUUUAUUCUAGAACCAGAGAAGAACAUGUAAAACAUGUUCGUCAAGUUCUUUCCCGGCUUAGAGUGCAUAGACUAUAUGCAAAGCCUGAAAAAUGCAUGUUCCACACAGAUCAAGUAUCCUUCUUGGGCUAUAACAUCUCCCCCUUAGGUAUUCAAAUGCAGACUGAAAAGGUAAACGCAGUUCUCGAUUGGCCUCAACCUAAAUCAAGGAAGGAUGUACAGCGGUUUUUGGGUUUUUCAAACUACUAUAGAAAAUUCAUCAAAAACUUCUCUUCUAUAGUCAAGCCUUUAACACUUUUAACUGGCAGUACAACACCUUUCAUCUGGAAUGCUCAGGCAGAGAAAGCUUUCCAAAUUUUAAAAAGAAAAUUCACAUCAGCUCCCAUUUUGCAUUUUCCCAAACCUCAGUACCAGUACACGUUAGAAGUCGAUUCUUCGGAUUAUGCAAUUGGAGCCGUUCUCUCUCAGCAAAGUUCUUUAAGUCAACCUCUACAUCCCAUCUCCUUUUACUCCAAAUUAAUGUCACCUGCUGAAAGAAACUACGCUAUUGGAGACAAAGAACUCUUAGCAAUCCGCCGAUCCCUCGAACAUUGGAGACAUCUGCUCGAAGGAACUACCAUACCUAUUAACAUCUUUACUGAUCAUAAAAAUUUGCAGUAUCUCCAAAGAAACAAAACUCUCUCAGCCCGACAGGUUCGUUGGAGCCUCUAUUUUGAUCGCUUUAACUUUUCCAUCAUUUACAGACCAGCAGAUAAAAACGGAAAGGCUGAUGCCUUAUCCCGUUCACUCAUAAAAUCUGAAGAGCUCCCACUCAGAUCCAGCAUCAUACCUCCUGAUUGUUUUGUUGGACUGAUAACUCCAAUCAUCUCUGAACUCAAAACUUACUGCAAAGAUGUUCCAAUACCUCCUAAACCAGAACUCCAUAAGUCUGCCGGAUUAUAUUACCACAGGAGUAAAUUGUAUCUUCCUCCUCAUUUGCAGUUACAGAUGAUAAAAGCCUCUCAUGAUACCCCUCUUUCCGGACACCCUGGCAUUCGUAGGACUAUGGAACGCCUCUCACGAACCUUUUGGUGGCCAAAGAUGAGGGAGACUAUUCAAGAGUACAUAAAGACCUGCAAGGUUUGUACCACCUCCAAACCAGAUCGCAAAGCUCCUUAUGGAUUACUCAUGCCUCUUCCUGUUCCCGAAAGACCCUGGUACCAUGUCUCCAUGGAUUUCAUUGUUGAUUUGCCUCUUUCAAACAAACAAACUACAAUAUUUGUAGUCAUUGACUUAUUCACAAAGAUGGCUCAUUUCAUCCCCUAUCACAAACUCCCCACUUCCUCUGAAACAGCUCUUCUGUUUAUUGAUAAUAUAGUCAAGUUACAUGGCAUACCUCCUAUAUUAACUAGUGACAGAGGAACACAAUUUACCUCAAAAUUUUGGACCAAACUAUGUGAAGUAACCCAGAUCGAUCACCGCUUUACUACAGCUUAUCACCCCCAAACAAACGGGCAGGCAGAAAGACUGAAUCAGUGGCUAGAACAUUACUUAAGAUGUUAUUGUUCUUAUCACCAAUCAGAUUGGAUGAAAUUCCUAUCAAUGGCUGAAUAUGCAUACAAUAAUUCCUUGAACGCCUCCACAAAGAUGACGCCCUUCUAUGCGAAUUAUGCCUAUCACCCUGACUUCACUUUUACUUCACACAACCCCUCUGAUUCCCCAUUGGUUGAUGAUAUUGUCAAUACAAUACAAGAAAACUUUAAAUUCAUUCAAGACAAUAUUCUUUCAGCACAGAAGACACAGAAACACUACUACGACCUCAGAAGGAGACCAUCUCCUGACUAUGUUGUGGGUGAUUUGGUCUGGUUAUCCACAAAAAAAAAACUUAAAACUCCAAAUACCCUCUAAAAAAUUGGCAAGCUUGUUCAUAGGUCCAUUCCCAAUAGAACGCAUCAUCAAUAAGAAUGCCAUCCGAUUACAACUUCCCAACAACAUUAAGAUUCAUCCAACAGUUCACGUUUCCCUUCUAAAACCUUAUGCCCGCACAAGGGAUCAGCGAAUUCUUCUACCACCUGUUGCUACCACCCUCGGUCAGGAUGAAUAUGAAGUUGAAUCCAUUUUGGAUUCCAGAUUUUAUAAGGGGGUCUUACAAUAUCUGGUUAGGUGGAAAAAUUAUUCACCUGACGAGGACACCUGGGAACCCAUCACCAACUUGAAUGCUCCUCGCCUUACGUCUCAAUUUCAUCGCAGGCAUCCUGAUCGACCCCGUCCUACCGCUGUGGAACAGCUUCCUUGAGCGGGGGGUCAUGUCAGGGUUGAGCACUGUUUCUUUAAGAGACUCUGAAGUUUCUCCUAAUUGAUUGCUCCUCCUAUAAAACAACACAGCACAUUGCAAUCAGUGCUUGGUAUUGUGUUCCAGUAUCCACUGAGUACUCCUUGUAUUAUGCUCUGGAUUACAAGUUGUCUAAGCCUCUCUGCCUUAUUUUCUAACAGGUUGAAAUAUCUGCUGGAUUUCCUAAAUACCGGAUCCUACUCUCACUUACUUCCUCAUUUGAUGCCUCUGCAAGAUUCCUCAGUGGGGUAAAGGAAGAUUUAUUACCUUCUCUCAGUGUCUCUCUGCUUCAGCAGCAGCCGCUGCUACAUUCCAGGCUGUCAGCUCUGCCAGUGACUUCACACGCUCACUUCCUCCUCAUUUAGCAUUCACACGCUGCCUGCCUGCUCCACAUCAGACUUCUCAGCUCCUGCAGCAUUUCAGCUUUUUGGCAACUUCAGCUUUGGAGAGUUGGAUUUGUACACUGUUCACCUUUCUCAGAGAUUUUCAUCAGAUGGUUCUGGUUAUUACACGUCUGCUGGACAAGUCGCCUUCUGCUAACGCUGAGAC